ACCUACUGUUUAAUUUUGAGGGUUCGUUUUUACGAAUGCUCAAAAUUAGCACUUUAAGCAACGGGAUUUAUCCGUUGGCGCUGUGCGUUAGCACUUUGAAAACUGCAUAUAUAUAUUUAGUGAUAUGACAUCUAAUUUGUAAUAUAUAAAGCUGAUAACUUUUUAAAAUUAUCGAAGUUGAUAGCUUCUAAUCUAUCAAACCUUUUUAACUGGUCAA
rnacentral:misc_RNA from 1 species